GGUGAAUACGUUCCCGGGCCUUGUACACACCGCCCGUCACACCAUGGGAGUGGGUUGCACCAGAAGUAGAUAGCUUAACCUUCGGGAGGGCGUUUACCACGGUGUGAUUCAUGACUGGGGUGAAGUCGUAACAAGGUAACCCUAGGGGAACCUGGGGUUGGAUCACCUCCUUACCUUAA
rnacentral:rRNA from 1 species